UACGUAGGUGGCAAGCGUUGUCCGGAAUUACUGGGUGUAAAGGGAGCGUAGGCGGGCGGAUAAGUCAGCUGUGAAAACUAUGGGCUUAACCCAUAACGUGCAGUUGAAACUGUUCAUCUUGAGUGGAGUAGAGGCAAGCGGAAUUCCGAGUGUAGCGGUAAAAUGCGUAGAUAUUCGGAGGAACACCAGUGGCGAAGGCGGCUUGCUGGGCUCUAACUGACGCUGAGGCUCGAAAGUGUGGGGAG
rnacentral:rRNA from 1 species